rnacentral:rRNA from 1 species
AUGAGGCUGCUUUAUGUCUAUCCAACCCCUUCGAAGCUUUUGCAUGCUUUAAUUGUGGAGCAUAGUAAUUCGGUUUCUCCUACUGAUGAACCUCAGCCUAAGAAGGGCAUGAACUUAUCUGCAAGUCUACAGGGACUAUUCGACCCGAUUGCUGCAAGUGCGGAUGACAGUUAUCAUGUUCGCAAAGCACGGAUAAAUGGAAAGCGUGCACAUUAUCACGUUGCAGGGAGUUAUGGAAAUGAAACAGAGGGCCAGCUUAACAAAUAUCCAUUCUCUCCUAAUGAUAGAUACCAGGCAAAUGACAUCUACUUGGGUACAUGCUUGAAGGACAGAAGCAGUGCCAUGGUGAGUCAGUGGAUCCUGAACUUUUGUUUACACAAGAAGUGGUCUAUUGGGCGUUGCAACAGAUUUAUGCAUGAUGAUGAAGGGAAGCUGCAACUUGAAGAUGUUUGCUCAUAUGUUUCAUACAACAAAAGAGGUUAUCUUCAGGAACUUUGGAACAUUCCUUUGGAUUCAUGUGUUGAUGCGUCAACUUUGCUUGUCCUGAACAAUGGGAUGAUAAACAUAUUUAUUGGGUCCCAUUCACAUUUAUUUCUCUGCAUCGAUGGUUGCAAUGGUUCAGUGAGGUGGAGUGUCAAAUUGGAAGGACGUGUGGAGUGUUCUGCUGCUAUUACUGGUGAUUUUUCAGAGGUUGUGGUUGGAUGUUAUAAAGGGAAAAUUUACUUUCAUGAUAUGUUGACUGGCAAACUAUCUUGGACAGUUCAAACAGAUGGAGAGGUAAAAAUGCAACCAGUUGUUGACAGGACAAGGAAUUUAAUAUGGUGUGGCUCUUAUGAUCAUCAUUUAUAUGCACUAAAUUACAAAGAUUGUUGCUGCGCUUAUAAAGUAUCUUGUGGUGGAAGCAUCUAUGGUUCUCCUGCUGUGGACAUGGCACAUGACAGGAUCUAUGUUGCUUGUACGAGUGGCCUUGUAACUGCAAUAUCCCUUGAGGUUCCAUCAUUCAGAAUAGUUUGGCAAUAUGAAGCUGGGGCAGCAAUUUUCAGUUCUCUUGCCAUCGAUCAUCAAAGUGGAAAUGUUGUUUGUUGCUUGGUGAACGGUUUGGUGAUCGCAUUGAACUCACAUGGCACUGUUGUCUGGAAGGCAACUGUUGGUGGUCCUAUUUUUGCUGGUGCAUGUGUGUCAUCUGCCCUUCCUUCUCAGGUGCUGAUACCUUCCCGUGAUGGAAGUUUGUACUCUUUUGAUAUUACAUCUGGUGAUCUUCUUUGGUCAUAUGACGUCAGCGACCCAAUUACUGCAUCUGCUUUUGUUGAUGAAGUGUUAGCAUCAACGCCAUCUGGAGCUUCAGAGAGAUUUGCUUGUAUCUGCACAAGUUCUGGGAAGGUCCGUGUCCUUGGGAUUAGAGCUGAUGCUGAGCAGGGGAAAGAUGGUUACUCUGUGCAAGAGUUUGCAGCCAUGGAUCUUCCUGGGGACAUAUUCUCGUCACCCUUGAUGGUGGGCGGGCGCAUCUUUGUUGGCUGCAGAGAUGAUCGGCUACAUUGUCUCUCAAUCACCUCACAUCCAUAA